rnacentral:SRP_RNA from 1 species
GGAAGAGAGCAUGGGAAACCUGUUCGCCCAGCGGUAGCAGGCCCCCGGAGGGCCGCAGACCGCAAGAGCGACCUGGCGGAG